CUCCCCAUUUCCCCAACCCCGUUAAAAUUUUAGACAGAAAUCCCCUUCCCUUCCUUCCUCCCUUUUUUUCCCCAAAUUGAAAACCCACCUACAGUCCCCACCGAUCCACCAUCCCACCUCCGGUCUCCGGUCCUCCAGCACUCCACCUCCACUCCACGACACUAGGUGGCUGUUCUCUUCACUUCGAUUCUUCUGCAACUUCCGAGUCCGACCCAAACCCUUCAAAUCAACAAGUUCAAGCCUUCAAGGUAACUUCUUUCUAUUCUUCUUCACUUUAGUUUUCAUUUUAAUCAUGUAUUUAAGACUUAAGAGAAGGCUGCUCUUUAUUGCUGAGUUUAGUGACGGUGACAUGCUUCGAUUUUUAAUAUACUGUUGCCAUGUUCUCUUUGAACUUUGAAGUUUGAAGUCAUUUGCUAGUGCUUUUCAUUUUCCAGAUUUUGAAGUCAUUUUAAUAUAUUUGAAGUCAUUUUGAAGGUAAUUCAUUUUCCAGACUUUGGCAUGUCAUUUUCCAGAUUUUGGCAUGUCAUUUUCCCGAUUUUAUUUUAUUUCCAGAAAAACUGUUUACAUGUAUGAGUAGUAAAUAUUUCUUGUCAUCCAUUUUCUUGGUCAACAUACGGGAAUUUGAUCUUAAAGAUCCUUAAGAUUAAAAUACGAAUGAAGUUAGGUUUACAUGGUCAUGUUUUUGCAAAGUCAAAAUUUCAUCUGCUUUUCUUUUUGGUUUGAUCUGUUUUUUGGUUGGUGAGAAAGUGAAUGAGAAGUUGCUGAAAAUGAAUUGAAUUGAAUUUGUUGGUUGAUGUAAAAUGAAUUGAAAAUGAACUGUGGCGGGGUUUUGUUUUUCGUAGAGUUUCGGUUAGUAAAAAUACAUUUUGUAAGCUCAUAAGAGAAAUAGGACUUUGAUAAUGAAAUGAUUUUGAUACGUCUAAGAACAUGUUCAUUACUGGUCCAAAAAAAACAAACCACCAACCCUCUGUAGCAGUCAUGACAAUCCCAGUACCAGCUCUUUGAAAAAUCGAGUCUUUUAUUGUAGCAAAGGUCGUUUAACUGGCAUUCACAUGGGUCUAAUUAUUUGACAGUUUUUUGCAGCUUCAAACUUACAAGCAAUAGUAGUGCUUAUUGCCCAAUUGAUAAUAUGCUGCUAGUCCUUAUUACUUGUAUAAUCAUUUUUAUUUUUAUUCUCUUUUUUUAAGAAUUGAUUGUUAGUUUGUUACCUAAAUGUCACAAAUGUGUAAUUAUAGACAAUUAAAUAACAUUUAAAUUCAAUUAGUUGGUAAUUUUUUAAACUUACAGUGUAUUAGUUUAGUGUAAUGCUACAUCAACUCUAACAUAAAGUUUAUAGAUAACAUGAUGAAAGCUAUUAUUUU
rnacentral:lncRNA from 1 species